rnacentral:rRNA from 1 species
AUUGAACGCUGGCGGCAUGCCUUACACAUGCAAGUCGAACGGCAGCACGGGUGUUUGCACCUGGUGGCGUGUGGCGAACGGGUGAGUAAUACAUCGGAACGUGUCCUGGAGUGGGGGAUCGCGCGGCGAAAGCCGGAUUAAUACCGCAUACGAUCUACGGAAGAGAGCGGGGGACCUUCGGGUCUCGCGCUUUGGGGGUGGCCGAUGGCUGAUUAGCUAGUUGGUGGGGUAAAGGCCUACCAAGGCGACGCUCAGUAGCUGGUCUGAGAGGACGACCAGCCACACUGGGACUGAGACACGGCCCAGACUCCUACGGGAGGCAGCAGUGGGGAAUUUUGGACAAUGGGCGAAAGCCUGAUCCAGCAAUGCCGCGUGUGUGAAGAAGGCCUUCGGGUUGUAAAGCACUUUUGUCCGGAAAGAAAUCCUUGGCCCUAAUACGGUCGGGGGAUGACGGUACCGGAAGAAUAAGCACCGGCUAACUACGUG